UUCUGAUGCAAUUAUUUUUUAAAGCACCAUCAUGCAAACUCUUGAAUAUAAUGAAACAAAUAUACGAAUAUAUGAAAAAUACGAAAAGGUGCAUAGUAACUAGAUAUAGAAAAUAUAGUAUAAUAAUGAAACAUGUAUCGAAAAGCCUUUCACGCUAAAAAAUAAAAAAUUUAAGUGGUGAUCCUACAACUGAGCCAUUACAAAAUAAAAAAUCAUACCAAUCCACUGCGUACAAUCAAAUCCUCUUUACGUAGUAAACGAGAUAAAUUUUUAUUUCAUUAUUUUUACGGCAUUUAAAUAAAAAUCUGGAUGAUUAAAAAAAAUUGACGGUUGUACAGCCAGAAUAAAAAUUCUAACUACACAAUAAAUAUUUUUAGAAGUGAAAUACAUCGAUUUGAUGAAAAUCAAAGCAAUCGUUAGGUAAUAAAAAAUAAGGAUUUGUACAUCCAAGCGAGACAGGCUUACAUCAUUUUCAUCUCAACGGUAUAUAUGAUACAUAAAAAAAGUGUACACAUUAAUUAUUAAAAAAAAUGAUAUGAGACUUGUUAAAAUAAUCGAAUGAACCCUGCAAUUUUGAAAAAAAAAUAUUAUCAUAGGCAAAAAUAACUUUUUAGUUAUCAUGAAAGAGGAAAAACGGUGACCGUAAUAUUGUGUAUGAAAAAUACGCGGCUCGUCUAUCGAAUUCUUUAACCUUACGUGACUGAAAUAGUAAAAAAAGUGUAUCUGGAUACACUUCUUGUAAAUAUUAGAAAAAAUUCAACUAAGCGUGAACGCUCACACUAAUACACGAUUAAUUGCUGACAGUUGCACGGGAAGGUAUAGUUAAAACAACGUACUUACUUACAAACCAUUGCGGGUCGGCGGCGCUUCCGCGAUAAUUGGUGUGUAAAGAUAAUGCACGUACGCCCUACUUACAAGAACAUUAAUCCAAUUGAAAGCUUGCAUGUGUGCGGAAAAGGCGAAUUUUUAUAUUUACUUAAUACAUCGAAUCAAUUUAUGACGAUUUUCAACGCCAUAAAUGAUAAGUUCGUGAUUGAUAUACGCAUACAUGCAGCGUGCAGAUGAAUAAAAUAAGCUCAAUGAACAAAAAGCUUAUAUAAUGAAUUAAAAAAUUAAAAAUAAAUAUAAUGUAAAAAGUUGAAGGCAUCCGAUUUAAACAGUAGAAAACUAGAUUUUUUUCCCUCAGAUAUUUUCGAGAGACAAUUUUUCAUAAAAAAUUAAUUAAAAUAAUUAAAAACCGAGCACGAGUCCAAAAUCCAUCACCAUUGCCAAAUUUUGUACGUACAUAUUCAUAUUAGUUAGUACUAUGCUGGCUCUUUUUAUUGAUGUUUACUUUUCAUUUAAUUGUUUUUUUAAAUCCUUAAUUUAAUCUAUGUUUCUUGUGUGUGUUAAUUUAUUUAUUUAUUUUUAAUAUAAUGCCGUUUGAUUAUGUGGAAUGUUUAAAUUUCAUUUAUUUUUUAUUUUUUUUACUUGUAUUUCAUAUUAUUCGAUUUUUUGAAUCAGCCCCGAAAAUGCAAAUAAUAAAACUAAAUGAACCCUUAACAAUUAUUUGUAAGUGGUAUGUAAAAUUAAAUUUUUUAUAGGUACACAAGACAUACAAACAGCUUCUUACGUAUGUAUUAACAGAACAACUUACUUAUAAAAAAAAUAUUAUUUGCUUAAACGACAACGUAUUAAUUAAAAUACUUAUUCGUUUGAAAUCUUUGAUAAAAAAUUAUAGAAAACCGACAAAUACUUGUACUUAAUACCACGGAAAGAAAAAUCUACAGAUUCAUAAAAAAAAAUGACUUACAUUUCAUUAAAAACUAAAAACCAACAAUAACAUUUUUUAAAUUUUUUUAGGCAACUUUAGUUUAAAAACUCUGUUUAUCUAUCAACAAAAAUCCAGAGAGAGACAAAUUCAGAGACAGCAAGUGCAACUGGCUGUUCUGGAUGACAACCUGGCAUAUCAUAAAUACGAUCACAAUUAAUUAUUCUUAGCAAGCGAGCAUUUUAUAAAUUGAAAGAAAGAAAAAGUUAUAGGUGCUAUAGUUACAUUAACAAAGGAUGCCAGUUUUUCGAAAAUGAUGACAUUAGUAAUAAUAAACAAAAAAUACCCAAGCAAUUCAAAAUCAACGUGCUGAAUCAUGGGAGGUAUACCUAAUAACGAUUUUAUUAAAAACAAACAUUUAAAGUAGAAAAAUCGAUUAUAUUAUAGAAAAUUAACAGACCAUCCAUAGUUUUUUUGUGGGGUUGGAAGUAACUUGUGUAAAAUUGGGCAAGACGUACUUAUACGAUUACGUAGAUGGUAGAAGUAUCCGAAAUAAAACGGUAUGAGGUGGUUGGUAAAACAUAUAUUAGAUGAUCGAAGAUACAAUUUUUUGCACGUAUUUGAUUGGACUUGCGGGCGAGCGAGCGCUAACGUGAAUUUAAUAUUCAAAUGCAAACCAAACGAAAUAAAUGAGAGUCAGAGAAAAGCCGAAGUUGCUUGCAUGAAAAUUAAUGAAUUAUAUAUUCAUGAAUAUACAUAUACAUACGAAUAUAUAAAUAUACAUAUAUAUAACCAUAUAUACAUAUACAUAAUACUGUACCCGAAGUAUCAUCGGUUGCGAGCGCGCGACUUAGAAAUUAUAGUAUGUAGUAAAAAAAAAAAGUUGGAAUGAAAUGCUUUAUUAAGAAAACUUAAGGAGGAAGUAGAUUGUGACUACCAGCGGCGAUACCUUCGUCUGUAUAAAAUCAAACUAAAAUUAAUCAAAGCUCAGAAUAAAUCAAAAUUCGCUUCGGGGUCAAGUGACCGUGAAGCGACAUCGUCUUCUUCCUUCCGUUCCCUUGUUCUCUGGGUGGCAUAAGUAUUUUUGAGCACUGGAAAAAAAAUAUGUUCGUUUGAUUACCUGUGAGUGUUUUGAGGUGAACUAGCAGAAAAUGAAAUAAUGAAAUUAAAAAAAAAUAAAGUAAAAUAGAGGACACACGCGUACACGCGACAU
rnacentral:lncRNA from 1 species